GAAGUCCUCGUUUUGCAUCCCU
rnacentral:snRNA from 1 species